rnacentral:rRNA from 1 species
AUGGCGGGCAUGGUGUUCGGCUUGGAGAACCCGAUGAUGACGGCGCUGCAGCACCUGCUGGACAUCCCAGACGGCGAGGCCGGCAACACCGCCGGCGGCGAGAAGCAGGGCCCGACGCGCGCUUACGUCCGUGACGCGCGAGCCAUGGCGGCAACCCCCGCCGACGUGAAGGAGCUGCCGGGCGCGUACGCGUUUGUGGUGGACAUGCCAGGUCUCGGGUCCGGCGACAUCAAGGUGCAGGUGGAGGACGAGCGGGUGCUGGUGAUCAGCGGCGAGCGCAGGAGGGAGGAGAAGGAAGACGCCAAGUACCUGCGGAUGGAGCGCCGCAUGGGCAAGCUGAUGCGCAAGUUCGUGCUCCCCGAGAACGCCGACAUGGAGAAGAUCUCCGCCGUGUGCCGCGACGGCGUGCUCACCGUGACCGUCGACAAGCUGCCCCCGCCCGAGCCCAAGAAGCCCAAGACCAUCCAGGUCCAGGUCGCCUGA